UACGUAGGGUGCGAGCGUUGUCCGGAAUUAUUGGGCGUAAAGAGCUCGUAGGCGGUUUGUCGCGUCUGCUGUGAAAACGCAAGGCUUAACCUUGCGCCUGCAGUGGGUACGGGCAGACUAGAGUGCGGUAGGGGAGACUGGAAUUCCUGGUGUAGCGGUGGAAUGCGCAGAUAUCAGGAGGAACACCGAUGGCGAAGGCAGGUCUCUGGGCCGUUACUGACGCUGAGGAGCGAAAGCAUGGGGAGCGAACAGGAUUAGA
rnacentral:rRNA from 1 species